GAUGAACGCUGGCGGCGUGCCUAAUACAUGCAAGUCGAGCGAACGGACGAGAAGCUUGCUUCUCUGAUGUUAGCGGCGGACGGGUGAGUAACACGUGGAUAACCUACCUAUAAGACUGGGAUAACUUCGGGAAACCGGAGCUAAUACCGGAUAAUAUUUUGAACCGCAUGGUUCAAAAGUGAAAGACGGUCUUGCUGUCACUUAUAGAUGGAUCCGCGCUGCAUUAGCUAGUUGGUAAGGUAACGGCUUACCUAGGCAACGAUGCAUAGCCGACCUGAGAGGGUGAUAGGCCACACUGGAACUGAGACACGGUCCAGACUCCUACGGGAGGCAGCAGUAGGGAAUCUUCCGCAAUGGGCGAAAGCCUGACGGAGCAACGCCGCGUGAGUGAUGAAGGUCUUCGGAUCGUAAAACUCUGUUAUUAGGGAAGAACAUAUGUGUAAGUAACUGUGCACAUCUUGACGGUACCUAAUCAGAAAGCCACGGCUAACUACGUG
rnacentral:rRNA from 1 species